UACGUAGGGGGCAAGCGUUGUCCGGAUUUAUUGGGCGUAAAGAGCGUGUAGGCGGCCGUACAGGUCAGCUGUGAAAACUCGAGGCUCAACCUCGAGACGUCGGUUGAAACCGUACGGCUAGAGUCCGGGAGAGGAGAGUGGAAUUCCCGGUGUAGCGGUGAAAUGCGCAGAUAUCGGGAAGAACACCCGUGGCGAAGGCGGCUCUCUGGGACGGUACUGACGCUGAGACGCGAAAGCGUGGGGAGCGAACAGG
rnacentral:rRNA from 1 species